GGGGAAAGAACUAACAAGGAUUCCCCUAGUAACUGCGAGUGAAGCGGGAAGAGCUCAAAUUUUGAAUCUGGCGGUCUUUCGGCCGUCCGAGUUGUAAUCUAGAGAAGCGUUUUCCGCGCUGGACCCGUGUACAAGUCUCCUGGAAGGGAGCGUCAUAGAGGGUGAGAAUCCCGUCUUUGACAUGGACUACCAGUGCUAUGUGAUGCGCUCUCGACGAGUCGAGUUGUUUGGGAAUGCAGCUCAAAAUGGGUGGUAAAUUCCAUCUAAAGCUAAAUACAGGCGAGAGACCGAUAGCGAACAAGUACCGUGAGGGAAAGAUGAAAAGAACUUUGGAAAGAGAGUUAAACAGUACGUGAAAUUGCUGAAAGGGAAACGCUUGAUGUCAGUCACAUCGACCGGGGAUCAACCUUGCUUUUCGCUGGGUGCACUUCUCGGUUUGAUGGGUCAGCGUCAGUUUUGGUCGCCGUACAAUGGCAAAGGGGAACGUGGCACUCUUCGGAGUGUGUUAUAGCCCCUCGUCGUAUGCGGUGGUCAGGACUGAGGAACUCGGCACGGCUUCGGUCUGUGUCUAGGAUGCUGGCAUAAUGGCCUUAAGCGACCCGUCUUGAAACACGGACCAAGGAGUCUAACAUGCCUGCGAGUGUUUGGGUGGCAAACCCGGGCGCGUAAUGAAAGUGAAAGUCGAGACCUCCGUCGUGGAGGGCAUCGACGCCCGGACCUGAGUCUUUUGACGACGGAUCUGCGGUAGAGCAUGUAUGUUGGGACCCGAAAGAUGGUGAACUAUGGCCUGAUAUGGUG
rnacentral:rRNA from 1 species